UACGAAGGGGGCUAGCGUUGCUCGGAAUCACUGGGCGUAAAGCGCACGUAGGCGGGUCUUUAAGUCAGGGGUGAAAUCCCGGAGCUCAACUCCGGAACUGCCUUUGAUACUGGAGAUCUUGAGUCCGGGAGAGGUGAGUGGGAACUCCGAGUGUAGAGGUGAAAUUCGUAGAUAUUCGGAAGAACACCAGUGGCGAAGGCGGCUCACUGGCCCGGUACUGACGCUGAGGUGCGAAAGCGUGGGGAGCAAACAGG
rnacentral:rRNA from 1 species